rnacentral:rRNA from 1 species
UUUGGUGGUCACAGCACGUGCCAAACACCCGAUCCCAUCCCGAACUCGGAAGUUAAGGGCCGACGCGCCAAUGGUACUGCGUCUCAAGGCGUGGGAGAGUAGGUCGCCGCCAAAC